rnacentral:rRNA from 1 species
UACAGAGGGCUCGAGCGUUGCGCGGAAUCACUGGGCUUAAAGCGUGCGCAGGCGGACCCGUCAGUACCUUGUGAAAUACCACGGCUCAACCGUGGAAUUGCUUGGUAUACUGCGGGUCUUGAGAUCGGUAGAGGUUGUCGGAACUCUAGGUGGAGCGGUGAAAUGCGUAGAUAUCUAGAGGAACGCCAAAGGUGAAGACA